rnacentral:rRNA from 1 species
GACGAACGCUGGCGGCGUGCUUAACACAUGCAAGUCGAACGGAAAGGCCCUGCUUUUGUGGGGUGCUCGAGUGGCGAACGGGUGAGUAACACGUGAGUAACCUGCCCUUGACUUUGGGAUAACUUCAGGAAACUGGGGCUAAUACCGGAUAGGAGCUCCUGCUGCAUGGUGGGGGUUGGAAAGUUUCGGCGGUUGGGGAUGGACUCGCGGCUUAUCAGCUUGUUGGUGGGGUAGUGGCUUACCAAGGCUUUGACGGGUAGCCGGCCUGAGAGGGUGACCGGGCACAUUGGGACUGAGGUACGGCCCAGACGCCUACGGGAGGCAGCAGUGGGGAAUAUUGCACAAUGGGCGGAAGCCUGAUGCAGCAACGCCGCGUGCGGGAUGAAGGCCUUCGGGUUGUAAACCGCUUUCGCCUGUGACGAAGCGUGAGUGACGGUAAUGGGUAAAGAAGCACCGGCUAACUACGUG